CCCGGGGCUCAACCUCGGAACCGCAUUUGAAACUGGCAGGCUAGAGUCUUGUAGAGGGGGGUAGAAUUUCAGGUGUAGCGGUGAAAUGCGUAGAGAUCUGAAGGAAUACCAGUGGCGAAGGCGGCCCCCUGGACAAAGACUGACGCUCAGAUGCGAAAGCGUGGGUAGCAAACAGGAUUAGAUACCCUGGUAGUCCACGCCGUAAACGCUGUCUACUUGGAGGUUGAGGUUUAGACUUUGGCUUUCGGCGCUAACGCAUUAAGUAGACCGCCUGGGGAGUACGGCCGCAAGGUUAAAACUCAAAUGAAUUGACGGGGGCCCGCACAAGCGGUGGAGCAUGUGGUUUAAUUCGAUGCAACGCGAAGAACCUUACCUACUCUUGACAUCCAGAGAACUUUCCAGAGAUGGAUUGGUGCCUUCGGGAACUCUGAGACAGGUGCUGCAUGGCUGUCGUCAGCUCGUGUUGUGAAAUGUUGGGUUAAGUCCCGCAACGAGCGCAACCCUUAUCCUUGUUUGCCAGCACGUAAUGGUGGGAACUCCAGGGAGACUGCCGGUGAUAAACCGGAGGAAGGUGGGGACGACGUCAAGUCAUCAUGGCCCUUACGAGUAGGGCUACACACGUGCUACAAUGGCAGAUACAGAGGGCAGCGAAGCUGCGAAGUGGAGCGAAUCCCUUAAAGUUUGUCGUAGUCCGGAUUGGAGUCUGCAAC
rnacentral:rRNA from 1 species